AACUGCAAAUGAGGGACAGACUUGGGGAUGCACAGAGGACAUCUGGGAGUGAGCAAAGUUCCAAAUACAUAAAAGUGUGUUCAAAGACAGCUGCAGCACAAGGGCUGUGGCAGAACAUUCUGCACUCCCCAGGGCAGAGCCCUCGGUAGCACUCAGCCCGGUGUCCCCAGUGCCCGAUACGAUGGCCACCAUGUAGGAAGUGCUCAGUACGGGCUGCUGAGGAGUCCAGCAAAGGCAAGAGCAGCUGGCAGCCAUGAAGACAGACAGGUGAGCACCAGAGGGAGCAACCACUCCAAAAAAGAGCAGAGAGGACGAUCCCUCUGCUGCCCCCGCCCUGCCCACUGCUAUCACGGGACACCUUGCACCUGUUUACCAUUGAGCCUCCCAUUACUCUCAGAGCUCCGGGAGGACAGGGAUGACUGUGGUCCUGCUCCCCAAGGCACAACACCUGAAGCACAGUGGGUACUGGGGAAAUGUGCAAGAAAGAAAGGGAAGGAAAAAGGUGGGCAGCCAGCCAUGGGAUGGAUUUCCCUGAACGCUGGGCUAAGAAACUAGGGAUAGGAAAAUAAUUUCAACAUGUUUUAGAAAGGUGACAAAUGAGUUGACAUUUUUAUAAGGUGACAAUGGCAGCAGCAUCAAAGAUAACAGUACCUUACAGGAGGAACUAGGAUUUACCAAGCUCUAACUAAUGCCAGGUACUGUAUUAAGUGCCUUGCAUGUAGUAUAACAACCAGAAGAGCCAUGGAGUGCCAGCUCCACUAGGAGGGGACAAUGGUCACAGACACAAGUAACUUGGUCCAGGUCACCCAGCCAGUAGGUGGCAAAGCCAGGACUCUAACAAAAGUCCAUCUGAUCCUAAAUAUUAUAACGUUGACCAUCAUAAGUAACUUGAAAAUUGAGGGAGGCCUGACCUAGAGGCUUCCGACUAGUCUGCUGGCCUGGCUACCCGGAGCCGGCUGCUGCAGCUGUCCUCAGCUCCAUCUCUACCUCUGUCCACGCCGAGAUAUGCAAGUGGGACUUGAUGUGAAAACUGAAGCAGAGAUCAGAGGAACUGAAUCCUUUCCCCCGCUCCCCAAGACACUCCACUCUAUGACAAUACCAAGAAGUAGAAGCCACUUUUCUCCGAGACUGAUUUCUAAAAUUUUGCCCUGCCUUGCCGUGAUUAUUUUUAAGAAAAGAAUUAUGUAAAAAUAGCCUAAUAAAAGCACCUCGGAAACAGACCAGACCAGAAAGUUAGAAAGCCCAGCAGGGUGGGUAGCUCUCAUAUGGCACUUCAGCCAGCUCAUUACCGAACCCCUCGGGUCCUGAGAAUUGCACGAGUAACAGGUUUCCCUUUGUCAGCAGGAGCCAAUCGUCUCCUCCCCGUCAGCGCUGCCUGUGGCCUCCCAAGGUGCUUCUCGCACUCUUGCCUUUCCCAGGUGCUCCCCAUGGCCUCCCAAGGUGCUUCUUACACUCUUGCUUUCCCGGCUUCCUUCCAUGUGUUAUGAGCAGGCCUUAUGCUGACUCUACUAAAUGGCUUCUGGUUUGGAUUUGCUAUGGUUUUAAUGAAAGUAUACCUUUAUUCACCCGGGGAAUUGUUACAUUUCACCAUCCCAGAAAGUCUGAGAACAAGGGGAAAGCUAAGACAGUUUCUGAAUCAUCCUAGAAAAAAAACGGGGCGGGGGAAAGAAGAGAGAGAGAGGAGGGGGAGGGGGAAGGGAGAGAGAGAGAGAGCGGAGGGGGAGGGCAGGGGAGAGAGAGAGAUGGACCCAGGAAAUGUAGACAAAGGCACCUGACUUCCUCAAGCGGGGCAUGCCUUUGCUUAUUUCAAGUCAGCCUUAACAAUUUGGAUGUUCUGGUUUUCCAGGCCCUGGCAGACCAAGGAAGCCAAACCAUCAGUCUUGGGACUGCAACUAAACAGCUACUCCUACCCCACCCACCCUGUGCUAAGCACUGUGUUAGGUCCUCCAGAGACAGGAGCGUGUGUUCUGGGAUGACCACGUGAGAGAGGGACUGGAUCCUGGUAAGUAUCCAGACGAGAACACCAAGCCUCCAGCACUCAGUCAACUUGCUCAAGACAAGUCAUAAAGCUAAACAAUACGAGACGCCAAAACCCGUGUUCUCGUCAUCACGCCAGCUGAACAGAGACUGUGCUGGACAACCCGAAGCGACAGAGGCAACGAGCAACAGCAACACCCACGAAAGGGAGAGGAAAACCACACAGAAACCAGGAGGGCAACAGGCCGGCCUAUUCCACAUACACAGAAGCAGCAGAGUGCAAGAGAUUCGACGCUGCCACCCCAGGCCGCGCCCAGGCCAGUAACUGAAGAAUGUUCAAAGUCCCACCUUCAGAAUGCUACUAUUUCCAAGCAUAAGGUAAAGUCACAAGAGCUGGGAAGGAGGAGGCCUUUGUUUUUAUGCCGGCUCCUCGUGCAGCUGACCUGUGACCUGAGGCUGGCCACCCACCUCUUCUGCUUUCACUUUCCCUGUGCAUAAAGCCAGGGUGGCCCUAUGUGCCCUGCGCAUCCUCAGACUGACUGGGGACCCGACUGGAGAGAACCACAGAAAACCACACAAUAACAAAGACAGACGAAGUGUAGGCAAGGCAUGACGGGUGACUACACUUGAGGGCUGGGGAGAGAAGACGACCAUGUUGACGGUCUCGGCAUGAACCACCGCCAAAAGCAUCUCCCUUGGAAUUCUGUCCCGCUGCCACAGUGCUCCCCACCUUCUACAUCAACGCUUGGAAGUGCUCUCUAGGCCGACCAGGGAUCCUGCUUUUGGUGUCACAUCAAAGAACUCUGCCCAAUUCAAGUGUCUCCACCUCUCCUUCCUCUGUUGAAGACCGCCCUGCCUGCUCUUGCACCCAGCCAAUUCCUCCUCCCUCCCAUCGAGCCUGUUGUCGCCUCCUGGAAGAACUCUUCCCUGAGUCUGUGACCUCCCCCAGCACAUGGGACCUCCCGCAUCACAGUCCUGACGACAGUGCACUGUGAUUAUUCGGCGACUUGUCAAUUUCUCCACUUGACAGAACUUCCCGUGAGGACAG
rnacentral:lncRNA from 1 species